AACUACGGAGGAAGGUGGGGAUGACGUCAAGUCAUCAUGGCCCUUACGGCCUGGGCUACACACGUGCUACAAUGGUCGGUACAAAGGGUUGCCAAGCCGCGAGGUGGAGCUAAUCCCAUAAAACCGAUCGUAGUCCGGAUCGCAGUCUGCAACUCGACUGCGUGAAGUCGGAAUCGCUAGUAAUCGUGAAUCAGAAUGUCACGGUGAAUACGUUCCCGGGCCUU
rnacentral:rRNA from 1 species